rnacentral:rRNA from 1 species
AUGAGCAUCGGCUACAACUACGGCAUCAAGUUUUUCGAGGCCAGCAAGGGCAGCGCCACCGCCGACAAGCAUGGCUUGGCCGUCAUCGCGUCCAAGCUCAACAGAGCGGCAGCCAAGAGCUUAGGCAAGCGCAUCCACGCCCUCAGGGCCUUGGAGAAGGAUAAGGUCAUCCAGAUGGACCUGGACAUCUGCAGCCAAUUGUACUCGAAAGCCGUGGACGAGCUUGAUGCUGCAGCUAAAGGCAUCAAGGCGGGUACAUCGGAAGGCAAAUUUGACGCGGAGAUGUACUCCCUCCGUCCCGAAAAACAUGUCGCGGGCGUAGUUCACUGGUAA